rnacentral:lncRNA from 1 species
AAAAUAUAUAUAUAAUUAAAUAUUAAAGUAUAAAUGAUAAAGUUUAAUAAAAUAAAAAAUAUAUCAAAUUUAAUUAAUUUAUAUUAUAUAAUAAAAUUUAAGUAUAAAUAUAUUAUCAUAAAAAUUUAAGUAUGAAUUUCAAUACAUAUUAAAAUAUAUAUAUAAUAUAUGAAAAAAUGAUUUUAUGUAUAUAAUACUUAAUAUAAAAUAAAAUAAUUAAAUACUAAUAUGUCACGCCCCGGGACCCAGCGGAAGCCCGCCUGGCGCGUGCCCAGACCCGCCAUAUGUCUACAACAUAUAAGGCGUCUAAAAACAACAAUAAUAAAAGCAAUAAUACAAGACAUUUAGGAGUAUCAGAGCAUAAUAAAAGUCUAAAUGCUACAACAAGGGAUAAGGUUAAAACUGUAAAUCCACUAAAUAAAAUAUAGAGUGAUACAAGGAAAUCCCAGAUACAUGCGCUAUAGGUAGAUACAUAGGUGGUCUCUAUACAUGGAUACAAAACCUCUCACUCUCUCAACUACAAAAGAAAGAGCAACCACCUAGGCAAAGUACCGCUUCUCGCUAGCUAGCUAAGCGAUCCCCUUGCCGCGAUCCUGUGCCUCCGCCGGUGCCGAAGACUCUGAAAAGGAAACCAUAAAACAGGGGCGUGAGAACUAUAAAAAAUAGUUCCCAGUGGGCAAUUACUGACUUCAGUGAAUGCACCACAAGACCCAAAGCUACAAAAGAUGACAGUGACAGUAACAGUAGAAAAGCGAAAGGUAAGUAAAAAUAAUGUAACCUACUACAACAUGAUAUCCCUACUUAGCGUAAUUAGCAUAAGUAUGAUGCAAUUAUGCAUGAAGUAAAAGUCUCCAACUAUCAUAAUGUUCACAAUGCGAAAUAGUAAAGUUCCGUUGUUUACUAUUCUAGUCAAUGUCCAAGUAAUACUCUAAGUCAUCAUCUGUCCACAUGUCAUAAUGAAUACUCAAGUCAAAUCUGAAGAGACCCACCCGAAGGCUGUCUAUGGUCCUGAGACCCACCCGAAGGCUAUCUGGCCGGUGCCGAGCCUAAUGGCCCGGUGGUAGUCAACAUCCCCACCCUAGGAAUGAGCCUGGCCUACGGCAAUCCACUUCGGCGCCCAAUCCCGCACGGCGAAUAUGAAUCGCGAUGGCUAUCUCCGGAGUGCCGGCUUGUAGGGAGCGACCCUCACAAGCAUGUGCGAAUGAGCACAAUGGCAAGUAGUCGUAUAUCCUAUCACAAGUACCAAGUCCUCAUGUCUAAUAACACGGAAUGUAUCGAAUGACCCGAAGGCCUAUCUCUAUGUCAUCAUGUCUCUAACAUGGAAUAUAUAGCAGAUGUACAAUAGCCUAUCAUCAUGUCCCUAAGUUGCAUUUGCAUAGUUUACUAAUUCCAAGUGCCUCUUUAUGACACUUUUGUUCAACGAGUCCCAAGCAUGGCAUUAAUAUGUUCAUGAUGCAUAGUUCACUCAAUUCUAGUAUGGAAACAUGUUCUCAACUUGCAAAACCAAGCACUAUCCUCAAUGCAUGCAAUCUACACAUAUAGCUCUACUAUAUGGAGUACAAAUUUUACGAUACAUGAGGCAUGCACGUUAAGUGUUCUAAAAUUCAUAUAAAUCAUGUUUAGCAUGAAUUUACAUUCAAAAAUACUUUACAAAAAGUUUAGAAGGCAUAGGGGCCAUUUUGCCUCAUUUUCAUGAAGUCAAAUCCACCGAUGACAACGAAACUCCUCGUUUGCUCCAACGAGGGUGUCCUCUAGUCUCCUAAUACCCUAAGGAUGUAGGAACAAGCGUUACUCGAAUGAAACGAACAAUCAAUAGCUCAAACAUUAACCAUCUCAUACUAAGGGCAAAAACUCACCUCUUAUGGAAAAUCUCUCCACAAGCUCAAAAAGGAGGUUAGAACCCUUCCAAUCCACUCUAGAGGAAGGUUCUAAUUCAAGGAAUCAAGCCUCAAAUGCCCUAAAACGAAAAUACCCAAAUAAACCCUAAAUUUUCAUUUCCAGGGUUUGAUCUCUCAAAAACCUCAAAUCAAGGAUCAAAGGGAGAAAUCGAGUCUCUAACCUCUCAAGAAGCUCCAAACUUAGCUCCAAUCCAAGCGAUGUUGAAGAUCUCCGCAGCCACUAGCUCCUCUCCAAGCUCUAAGCCAUCAACAAUGGUGGAGAGCCACCAUGAUGCAAUAGAGGAGAGAAAACCCAAUAAAAAUCAAGCAAAAGGAGUAAAAAUAUAAGGAAAGGGAGAGAGAGCUCCUCCUACCUCAACUCCUGCUGGUCUCAGCACAAAAGAAGCCCUAAGGGGCGUGGGUGCUGUUAUAGAUAAGCUACAAUCGCGAAAAACCCCCUGCAGUUCAAACUGCACGAAAUCUGCCUUCUUAUACCGGUACACGGGCUCUUGUACCGGUACAAGGCCCACGAAAAUGCAAACCCGAGGCUCGGGUCACGGGGUCUCCGGCUCUGUACCGGUACAAGCCCGAUGGCUGUACCGGUACAACCAUCAAUCUUUGUAUCGGUACAAGACCAACCUUAUUCCGGUACAAGCUCUGCUGCAGGCUAACCCGAGAGCUGUCCAAUGAAUCCAAUUUUUGGAUUUUGGUACCAAGCUUAAAAAUACAAUUCUCGGGACUCGAACCAUAGGUCGUAACACUGUCAACGACCCACCAGAAAGUCUGGAAAAACUCGACACACAAAUCAAACACUCGAACCUCGCAAUUUGCAAAGGUUCCGUGUGUUACAUAAUAUAUAAAUGAUAAAACUUAAUAAAAUAAAAAAUAUAUCAAAUUUAAUUAAUUUAUAUAAUAUAAUAAAUUUUAAGUAUAAAUAUAUUGUCAUAAAAAUAAUAUUUAUAUUAAUAUAUGUAUUAUUUAUUAAAUUUGAGCAUUUAUUUAAUUUAUUUGAAAUUAAUUAAAAUAAAGUAUAAAAAAAAUAAAAUGGCAUAAAAAGAAAAAAAGAGACAAAAAAAAAAGUUCCGGCUUGUUCUCCAUUUCAUGGAGAACAAUCUUAAUGGGUUGUUCCCGGAACAACCCGUUAAGCCCGUAACAAUCCGUUAAGCCCGUAACAAUCGGAUUGUUCCAUUUUGUAUUGCGUUUGGAAGGACAAUGAGGAAUAUUUCGCUUUGUUCUGGAAUAUAUUUCCAACCAAACGCU